CCCGCUGAACUUAAGCAUAUCAGUAAGCGGAGGAAAAGAAACUAACCAGGAUUCCCAUAGUAACGGCGAGUGAAGUGGGAAAAGCUCAAAUUUAAAAUCGGGGUGCUCUUUAUGGGUCCUCGAAUUGUAAUUGAGAGAACAUGCUUUUGGUCAUGAAAGAUGGUCAAAGUGCUCUGGAAAGGGACAACAAAGAGGGUGACAUUCCCGUCUGGGUCAUCCUUUCAUGGUCAGUUCAAAGCAUGUUCUAAGAGUCGGAUUGUUUGGGAAUGCAGUCCUAAAUGGGUGGUACAUGUCAUCUAAAGCUAAAUAAUGGCAAGAGACCGAUAGCGAACAAGUACCGUGAGGGAAAGAUGAAAAGAACUUUGAAAAGAGAGUUAAACAGUACGUGAAAUUGUUAAAAGGGAAACGAUUGAGACCAGUGAUGCCGUGUGUCUGAGAGCCUGGCCUUUGGGUGAGGUGUUAAGGCACACAGCAAGUGGACGCUUCUUUUUCUGACUGGAAAAGGCCAAGGGAAAGAUGGCUCUACUCUUUUGAGUAGCUGCUUUAUAGUCCCUUGGAGAUACAGUCAAGGAGAGAAGACAGGUAGGGUGUAAGCCCACGUCGACGAAAUGGUCUUAAACGACCCGUCUUGAAACACGG
rnacentral:rRNA from 1 species